rfam:Thermobrachium celere DSM 8682 genomic scaffold, scaffold54
UAACCUAUUAAAUGUUGGACAGUUGAACUAUUAGAAGUCAGCAGAGGUCAUAGUACCAUGAGAUACGCUUUAUCAUAGGAAGGAC